UACGGGGGGGGCAAGCGUUGUUCGGAAUUACUGGGCGUAAAGGGCUCGUAGGCGGCCAACUAAGUCAGACGUGAAAUCCCCCGGCUUAACCAGGGAACUGCGUCUGAUACUGGAUGGCUUGAGUUUGGGAGAGGGAUGCGGAAUUCCAGGUGUAGCGGUGAAAUGCGUAGAUAUCUGGAGGAACACCGGUGGCGAAGGCGACAUCCUGGACCAACACUGACGCUGAGUGAGCGAAAGGCCAGGGGAGCAAACGGG
rnacentral:rRNA from 1 species